UCACAUUCCAAAGUUACAUUCAACUAAAAGCCGUUGAGUAGAGGAAUGUAGUUAUCUGUGUCUGGAAUUGGAAGUAUAAUUGGGAAUGUGCUGAAGAGGAAGGCCAAGACACACUGGUGAUACUGAAGUCAAAACAGUAUUGAAGGGGUGAAAGUCAUGAAUAAACUGCACUAUCCUUCAGAGUGUAGGUAAAGUAAUUAGCUUAAGAAAGGAUCCCUAAGUCCCAGGCCUCUGUACAAAGAUGUGAAGAAAUACAGCAAGCGUGUGAAGUUUUUUAAAAUUAAGAGUUUCUCAAUCACGAAGAAUGUGGCUUAACUCCUCAAGUCUGUGGGUUUGGGAGACUGGCCAGCACCAAGCAUCUGACACACACCUGAUGAGUCAAUGAACCAUCUCUCCAGGGUAACAUCUUCCCCUUCACAGGUACCCAAGAGCCAGAGACCAGAGCUCUGUCCCCUAAUGUGGAGGUGACUUCUUCAUAAGAGGACAUGGGGUAGAGUGUCAAGUAUUCAAAACUCUGGAACUAGAUUGGCAUUCGGGUGGAUCUCGACCCUGCCACUUAAAAAGGCAAGUGACACACAGAAGGGAAGCAACUUAUCCAAGAUCUCAAUUGUUAGUGGAAGAAGCUGGCUGUCAACCGAAGUCAGUGUGAGAUGACCUCAGUGCUUUCUUAUCCAGGUCAGGAAACACUGGGAGAUUGAAUUUAAAUUUGAAGGUUGUUUGGUAAAUAUGGAAUCAGAGAAAUCAAAAUCACAUGGCCUCAAAAGAUGAUACUUUUGUCAAGCUAUGAAGCCUGGCUCUUUUAACAUUGAAGAUAUAAAGAUAAACAAGAUAGACAUAAAGUGUCUGGCCUCAUGAAGUUCUGCUAGAAGAGAGAAGCAUAUACAAAUAAAAUAAUAAAAAGGUAGUUAAAAAUGUGAUACCAGAUCUGUGAAGAAAAUGAAAGGGAUAUUGUGUUAAUAAAUUGCAGUAGGAAGAUCAUUCUUGAAUGAUCCAGACACAUCAUGAGCUUUUCAUCCUGACGAGAUUAGUGAAAAAGCCCAAGAAAGAAGAUGACCAAGAAGGAAACAAAAAGGGUUUGAUGUUUUAAGGAACAGAAUGAAGCCCUGUGAAUGAUAUAAAAUGAGAUGGGAGACCAGGCAAGAAAUCUACUUAUGUGAGUAAAUGGAGAUCAUGGUUUGGAGUUUGGAUUUUACUCUAACCAAAACAGGAAUUCAUUAAAAUUGGAUAUCCAUAAGCAGAAGAAGGAAACAGGGCUCCUACCUCUCAUCACAUACAAAAAAUCAAAUAAAAAGGGACGGAAGACUUAAAUAUAAGACCCAAAACUAUGAAACUACUAGAAGAAAACAUAAGGGAAACACUUCAGGCCAUUGGUCAGGGGAAAGCUUUUAUGAAGAAGACCUCAAAAACACAGAAAACAAAAAUAGACAAAUGAGAUUAUAUCAAACUGAAAAGCUUCUGCACAACAAAGGAAAUAAUCAACAAAGUGAAGAGACAACACACAGAAUGGGAGAAAACAUUUGCAAACUAUUCAUCCGACAGGGGUUAAAAACCAGACUAUACAAGAAACAAACAACUCAAC
rnacentral:lncRNA from 1 species